UGAGGAAUAUUGGUCAAUGGGCGAGAGCCUGAACCAGCCAAGUCGCGUGAGGGAGGACGGCCCUACGGGUUGUAAACCUCUUUUGCCGGGGGACAAACGGCGGCACGCGUGCCGUCCUGAGGGUACCCGGAGAAAAAGCAUCGGCUAACUCCGUGCCAGCAGCCGCGGUAAUACGGAGGAUGCGAGCGUUAUCCGGAUUUAUUGGGUUUAAAGGGUGCGUAGGCGGGAUGCCAAGUCAGCGGUCAAAUACGGGGGCUCAACCUGCGUCCGCCGUUGAAACUGGCGUUCUUGAGUGGGCGAGAAGUACGCGGAAUGCGUGGUGUAGCGGUGAAAUGCAUAGAUAUCACGCAGAACCCCGAUUGCGAAGGCAGCGUACCGGCGCCCAACUGACGCUGAAGCACGAAAGCGUGGGUAUCGAACAGG
rnacentral:rRNA from 1 species